rnacentral:rRNA from 1 species
UACGGAGGGUGCGAGCGUUGUCCGGAAUCACUGGGCGUAAAGGGCGCGUAGGCGGCCUGAUAAGUAGGGGGUGAAAUCCUGCGGCUUAACCGCAGGGCUGCCUUCUAAACUGUCAGGCUAGAGCACAGUAGAGGCAGGUGGAAUUCCCGGUGUAGCGGUGGAAUGCGUAGAGAUCUGCAAGAAUACCCGUGGCGAAGGCGGCCAACUGGGCCGGUUCUGACGCUGAGGCGCGAAAGCGUGGGGAGCAAACAGG